ensembl:snRNA U6 U6 spliceosomal RNA
GGGCUCACUUCAGCGGCACAUAUACUAAAACUGGGAUGAUAGAGAGAAGAUUAGUAUGGCCCCUGAGCAAGAAUGACAUGCAAAUUCAUGACGUGUUCCAUAAUUUU